rnacentral:rRNA from 1 species
UACGUAGGGAGCAAGCGUUGUUCGGAUUUACUGGGCGUAAAGGGCGCGUAGGCGGCCUGUCAAGUCAAUUGUGAAAUCUCCGGGCUUAACUCGGAACGGUCAAUUGAUACUGUCAGGCUAGAGUGCAGAAAGGGCAAUCGGAAUUCUUGGUGUAGCGGUGAAAUGCGUAGAUAUCAGGAGGAACACCGGUGGCGAAGGCGGGUCUCUGGGCCGAUACUGACGCUGAGGAGCGAAAGCGUGGGGAUCAAACAGG